UACGUAGGGUGCAAGCGUUAAUCGGAAUUACUGGGCGUAAAGCGUGCGCAGGCGGUUUUGUAAGUCUGUCGUGAAAGCCCCGGGCUUAACCUGGGAAUUGCGAUGGAGACUGCAAGGCUGGAAUCUGGCAGAGGGGGGUAGAAUUCCACGUGUAGCAGUGAAAUGCGUAGAGAUGUGGAGGAACACCGAUGGCGAAGGCAGCCCCCUGGGUCAAGAUUGACGCUCAUGCACGAAAGCGUGGGGAGCAAACAGG
rnacentral:rRNA from 1 species